rnacentral:lncRNA from 1 species
GGAAGGGUAUAUUAGCUAAGGUGUAGGUUAAGCUGUUCUAACAAAGAGCCCCCAAAAUACAGUGACCUAGAUAAAACCACGCUAACAUUUUGGGAAAAAACACUGGGAACUUCUGGUCCUGUUGCCUGUGUUAACUAGACCAAGAGGCCCAUGGUGGGUAAGGAGGUCCUGUGGACCCACUGAGUGGGGCCUCAGAGAAGGAGCUUAGGGGGUCACUUACUGGGCUUCUGCGUUUCCUGUCUAUAGUGCAGGAAUUAGAGCUGUCCGCUGUGAUGUUUCCUCCUUUUAAUGCUAUGGCUGGGACUGUUCUGCUAUGAGGCAUGACCAAAGUGUAGAACCCUCAGCCGGGAGUUCUCCACUGUGAGGGUUCCAGCAGCCCGACCAGAUGGAGGGGAUGGAGGGAAAGAUGGCUUUGAAAACUGAACACAGGGAAUGUGUACAGAUAAGAGACAGAGGCUGCACCUGCCGAUCCGUGUUCUCUAAGUCUGUUCCAUUUUGCAGAAUGGAAGGAGAAGGAACCUUUAAAACCAAGAAAUGGUACCUAUACCAGAUAUCUGCAGGAAGGAUCCAUGUAACUGCACAGUGAUGGAAACAGAGGAAAGGGUACCUCUGCCACUCCAGUGCAGCCUGACAUUCCUGAGAUGCCUCAAGGCACAACUGAACAUAUGGUAUGCACCUGGGUAUGUGGAGCUUGAGGAAGAGCUUCACUCAUCUUUCACCUUCUAUUCUCUGAUGCUGGGUGGGGUCUCCUUUCUGUUUUUGUUGUUGUUGUUGUUCUUUUAUUUAUUUAAUGAUUGGACCUGAGCUAAUAUCUGUUGCCAAUUUUUUGUUCUUCUCCCAAAAGUCCCCUAGUACAUAGUUUUAUAUUCUACUUGUAGGUCCUUCUGCUUCUGCUAUGUGGAUGCUGCUUCAGCAUGGCUUGAUGAGAUCCAUUCCCAGGAUCUGAACUGGUGAAGCCCUGGGCUGCUGAAGCAGAGCAUGUGAACUUAACCAUUCAGCCACAGGGCUAACCCCCCCUUCUUGGUUUUUGAUUUCCACGCACCACCGUGAUGUCAGACUCUCUUUGACUUUGAGAGUCUUCUCUGGCAGAGAAGGGAGGUAGAAACCUCUUCAAGUGUGGGGUGGUUCCUGCCUUAACUGAUAUCGCUGCGAAACCUCUCUCCACCACCUGGUGAUGGGCUUGGCACCUGUCGCAAGAAGUUGGACCUGUAGCAUGUGCACUGGUUCUGAAGCCUGUGACCAAUCCUCCCACUGCCAUCAAAAUAAAGGGUGGUUCUGAGACCUAUUUCA